UACAGAGGUCUCAACCGUUGUUCGGAUUUACUGGGCGUAAAGGGCGCGUAGGCGGCCAGCACAAGUCAGUUGUGAAAUCUCCGAGCUUAACUCGGAACGGUCAACUGAUACUGUGCGGCUAGAGUGCGGAAGGGGCAACUGGAAUUCUUGGUGUAGCGGUGAAAUGCGUAGAUAUCAAGAGGAACACCUGCGGCGAAGGCGGGUUGCUGGGCCGACACUGACGCUGAGGCGCGAAAGCUAGGGGAGCGAACGGG
rnacentral:rRNA from 1 species